rnacentral:rRNA from 1 species
AUGUGUUUGUGCUGUUCGAUCGGUGGUUGUGCUUGCCCUCUCGAUCGAGGGCUGAGGCUUCUAGCUAGACUCCAUUUGGGACUCGUUCUUCUUCAGCUCUUGCUACUUUUCCUCUCUCUUUUUCUGGGAAAUAAUAUGUAUGUAAAUUUGUACAUCCAGAUCUAUGAUGAGAUGCUACUGAAUUCUAUGAACUAG